rnacentral:rRNA from 1 species
GACGAACGCUGGCGGUGUGCUUAACACAUGCAAGUCGAACGGAAAGGCCCUGCUUUUGUGGGGUGCUCGAGUGGCGAACGGGUGAGCAACACGUGAGUAACCCGCCCUCGAAUUAGGGAUAACUUCAGGUAACUGGGGCUAAUACCGGACAGGAGCUCCUGCUGCAUGGUGGGGGUUGGAAAGUUUCGGCGGUUGGGCAUGGACUCGCGGCUUAUCUGCUUGUUGGUGGGGUAGUGGCUUACCAAGGCUUUGACGGGUAGCCGGCCUGAGAGGGUGACCGGCCACAUUGGGACUGAGAUACGGUCCAGUGGCGUACGGGCGGCAGCAGUGGGGAGUGUUGCACGAGGGGGGGAAGACUGAUGCCACGCCGCCGCGUGCGGAGUGACGGCCUUCGGGCUGUGACCCGCAGUAGCCUAGGACGAAGGGUGAGUGACGGUAAUGGGUAGGGAAGAACCGGCUAACUAAGUG